rnacentral:rRNA from 1 species
GUUAUAGGAUCAAGUGACUAAGUGCAUGCGGCGGAUGCCUUGGCGAUCACAGGCGAAGAAAGACGCGGCAGCCUGCGAAAAGCUGCGGGGAGCUGGCAAACGAGCUUUGAUCCGCAGAUAUCUGAAUGGGGGAACCCACACCGCAAGGUGUAUCCGUAACUGAAUACAUAGGUUACGGAGGCGAACGAGGAGAACUGAAACAUCUAAGUAUCCUCAGGAAAAGAAAUCAACCGAGAUUCCGGCAGUAGCGGCGAGCGAACCCGGAGGAGCCCAGCUUUUGAUAGUACGAACUUUAGCCGAAAGGACCUGGAAAGGCCUGCUAUAGUGGGUGAUAGCCCCGUAGGCGAAAGAGUUGGUACGGUACUAAGGAAGCGAGAAGUAGAGCGGGACACGUGGAAUCCUGUUCGAAGACGGGGGGACCAUCCUCCAAGGCUAAAUACUCGUGAUCGACCGAUAGUGAACCAGUACCGUGAGGGAAAGGCGAAAAGAACCCCGGGAGGGGAGUGAAAUAGAACCUGAAACCGCAUGCAUACAAACAGUAGGAGCCUUUACGGAGGUGACUGCGUACCUUUUGCAUAAUGGGUCAGCGACUUACAUUCUGUGGCGAGCUUAACCGAAUAGGGGAGGCGCAGCGAAAGCGAGUUCGAAAUGAGCGUUCAGUCGCAGGGUGUAGACCCGAAACCAGAUGAGCUAUCCAUGGCCAGGUUGAAGGUGUGGUAACACACACUGGAGGACCGAACCGACUAGUGUUGCAAAAUUAGCGGAUGAGCUGUGGAUAGGGGUGAAAGGCCAAACAAAUCUGGAGAUAGCUGGUUCUCCCCGAAAACUAUUGAGGUAGUGCCUCGUGUGUCGCUCCAGGGGGUAGAGCACUGUUUUGGCUAGGGGGACAUGGAGUCUUACCAAACCAAGGCAAACUCCGAAUACCUGGAAGCGUAAGCACGGGAGACAGAGCACCGGGUGCUAACGUCCGGACUCAAAAGGGAAACAACCCAGACCGCCGGCUAAGGUCCCAAAUAACAGCUAAGUGGAAAACGAAGUGGAAAGGCCGUGACAACCAGGAAGUUGGCUUAGAAGCAGCCAUCCUUCAAAGAAAGCGUAAUAGCUCACUGGUCGAGUCCUUCUGCGCGGAAGAUGUAACGGGGCUAAGCUGUUAACCGAAGCCGCGGAUGCGCUGGUUAUCCAGUGCGUGGUAGGGGAGCGUUCUGUAAGUCUGCGAAGGCGGUUCGAGAGGACUGCUGGAGAUAUCAGAAGUGCGAAUGCUGACAUGAGUAACGUUAAAGCAGGUGAAAAGCCUGCUCGCCGUAAGCCCAAGGAUUCCUGCUCUACGUUCAUCGGAGCAGGGUGAGUCGGCUCCUAAGGUCAGGCCGAAAGGCGUAGCCGAUGGGAAUCAGGUUAAUAUUCCUGAACCUGCGUCAGAUGCGAUGGGGGGACGGAGCAUGGAAGAUCAUCCGGGUGUUGGAAGUCCCGGUUGUUUAGCGUAGGAGGUCUGCAGGCAAAUCCGCAGACGCAUCUCCAAGGCAAAGACACGUGCCGCCACGGCGGCGAAGUGAUCGGAAGUGCUUCCAAGAAAAGCCUCUAAGCCCCAGUCUGACGCGGACCGUACCGCAAACCGACACUGGUGGGCGAGCUGAAUAUGCUCAGGCGCUUGAGAGAACUCGGGAGAAGGAACUCGGCAAAUUGACACCGUAACUUCGGAAGAAGGUGUGCCGUAGUACCGUGAGAGGAGAGACACCUUGAGCGGGAAACGGUCUCAGAGAAUAGGUGGCUGCGACUGUUUAUUAAAAACACAGCACUCUGCAAAGUCGAAAGACGACGUAUAGGGUGUGAUGCCUGCCCGGUGCUGGAAGAUUAAUUGAUGGGGUGAGAGCCCUUGAUCGAAGUCCCAGUAAACGGCGGCCGUAACUAUAACGGUCCUAAGGUAGCGAAAUUCCUUGUCGGGUAAGUUCCGACCUGCACGAAUGGCAUAACGAUGGCCACACUGUCUCCUCCCGAGACUCAGUGAAGUUGAAAUGUUUGUGAUGAUGCAAUCUACCCGCGGCUAGACGGAAAGACCCCAUGAACCUUUACUGCAGCUUUGCAUUGAACUGUGAACCGAUUUGUGUAGGAUAGGUGGGAGGCAGAGAAGAGGCCACGCCAGUGGCCUUGGAGCCGACCUUGAAAUACCACCCUGAUUUGUUUGCGGUUCUAACCACGGACAGUGAUCCUGUCUUGGGACCGUGCAUGGUAGGCAGUUUGACUGGGGCGGUCUCCUCCUAAAGGGUAACGGAGGAGUACGAAGGUACGCUAGGUACGGUCGGAAAUCGUGCUGAUAGUGCAAUGGCAAAAGCGUGCUUGACUGCGAGAGCAACAACUCGAGCAGAUGCGAAAGCAGGUCAUAGUGAUCCGGUGGCUCUGAAUGGAAGGGCCAUCGCUCAACGGAUAAAAGGUACUCUGGGGAUAACAGGCUGAUACCGCCCAAGAGUUCAUAUCGACGGCGGUGUUUGGCACCUCGAUGUCGGCUCAUCUCAUCCUGGGGCUGUAGUCGGUCCCAAGGGUAUGGCUGUUCGCCAUUUAAAGAGGUACGUGAGCUGGGUUUAAAACGUCGUGAGACAGUUUGGUCCCUAUCUGCCGUGGGCGUUGGAAGAUUGACGGGGGCUGCUCCUAGUACGAGAGGACCGGAGUGGACGCACCUCUGGUGUACCGGUUGUCACGCCAGUGGCAUUGCCGGGUAGCUAAGUGCGGAAGAGAUAACCGCUGAAAGCAUCUAAGCGGGAAACUUGCCUGAAGAUGAGUCUUCCCGGAGGUUGAACCUCCCUCAAGAGUCGUCCGAGACCAGGACGUCGAUAGGUCAGGUGUGUAAGCGCUGUAAGGCGUUGAGCUAACUGAUACUAAUUGCUCGUGAGGCUUGAUCCUAUAACC